rnacentral:rRNA from 1 species
UGGGGAAUAUUGCGCAAUGGGGGAAACCCUGACGCAGCCAUGCCGCGUGAGUGAAGAAGGUCUUCGGAUCGUAAAGCUCUUUCAACGGUGAAGAUGAUGACGGUAGCCGUAGAAGAAGCCCCGGCUAACUUCGUGCCAGCAGCCGCGGUAAUACGAAGGGGGUUAGCGUUGUUCGGAAUUACUGGGCGUAAAGCGCACGUAGGCGGACCAGAAAGUUGGGGGUGAAAUCCCGGGGGCUCAACCCCGGAACUGCCUCCAAAACUAUUGGUCUAGAGUUCGAGAGAGGUGAGUGGAAUUCCAAGUGUAGAGGUGAAAUUCGUAGAUAUUUGGAGGAACACCAGUGGCGAAGGCGGCUCACUGGCUCGAUACUGACGCUGAGGUGCGAAAGUGUGGGGAGCAAACAGGAUUAGAUACCCUGGUAGUCCACACCGUAAAACGAUGAAUGCCAGUCGUCGGGUAGCAUGCUAUUCGGUGACACACCUAACGGAUUAAGCAUUCC